rnacentral:rRNA from 1 species
AUAGAGACUCAGAGCUGCAUAUCAAUAAGCGGAGGAAAAGAAACUAACAAGGAUUCCCCUAGUAACGGCGAGUGAAGCGGGAAGAGCUCAAAUUUGAAAUCUUCAAGGGUUCUACCUUUACGAAUUGUAGUUUAAUAGAAGUGUUUUCUGUUAGUAGAGUGGCAAAAGUUCUUUGGAAUAGGACAUCAUAGAGGGUGAGAAUCCCGUAUUUGGUCAUUCCUCCUAGCGUUGUGAUACACUUUCAACGAGUCGGAUUGUUUGGGAAUGCAGUCCAAAAUGGGUGGUAAAUUUCAUCUAAAGCUAAAUACUGGCGAGAGACCGAUAGCGAACAAGUACCGUGAGGGAAAGAUGAAAAGAACUUUGAAAAGAGAGUUAAACAGUACGUGAAAUUGUCAAAAGGGAAGCGUUUGACACCAGUGUUGUUUUCUCGAAAAUCAAUUAAAAAUGGUGGGAUGUUGUGUUGUAUUGACUUUAUCAGCUUUCUGCACUUUUUUUCCUAUCUUUUUUAAUGCACUUUUCGUUUAACAAGUCAACAUCAAUUUCUUUUGUUGUAAAAGAGUCAUUGGAAGGUGGCUUUCUUUUCGGAGAAAGUGUUUAUAGCCUUGUGCCUCUGCAAUCGGAGAGAUUGAGGUCUGCAGCGUAGAUCCUUCGGGGUUAGAUACGUUUGUGCUAAGUUAUAGCUUUUCAUAGACAACUUGUUGACUAUGUUUAGUCUUGUAGCUUACUCGCUGACGCUAUUUUACCUACGCUUAGGAUGUUGAAGAUAUGCGCGACACG